UGGGGAAUAUUGGACAAUGGGCGCAAGCCUGAUCCAGCCAUGCCGCGUGAGUGAUGAAGGCCUUAGGGUUGUAAUGCUCUUUUGGCGGGGACGAUAAUGACGGUACCCGCAGAAUAAGCCCCGGCUAACUUCGUGCCAGCAGCCGCGGUAAUACGAAGGGGGCUAGCGUUGUUCGGAAUUACUGGGCGUAAAGCGCACGUAGGCGGAUUUGUCAGUCAGGGGUGAAAUCCCGAGGCUCAACCUCGGAACUGCCUCCGAUACAGCAAGUCUCGAGUCCGGAAGAGGUGAGUGGAAUUCCUAGUGUAGAGGUGAAAUUCGUAGAUAUUAGGAAGAACACCAGUGGCGAAGGCGGCUCACUGGUCCGGUACUGACGCUGAGGUGCGAAAGCGUGGGGAGCAAACAGGAUUAGAUACCCCCGUAGUCCCUGAGCGGGCUGGCAAGGCGCAU
rnacentral:rRNA from 1 species